rnacentral:rRNA from 1 species
UGCCGCGUGCGGGAAGAAGGCCUUCAGGGUUGUAAACCGCUUUUGUCAGGGAAGAAAUCCUUUGAGCUAAUACCUCGGAGGGAUGACGGUACCUGAAGAAUAAGCACCGGCUAACUACGUGCCAGCAGCCGCGGUAAUACGUAGGGUGCGAGCGUUAAUCGGAAUUACUGGGCGUAAAGCGUGCGCAGGCGGUCUUGCAAGACAGGUGUGAAAUCCCCGGGCUUAACCUGGGAACUGCACUUGUGACUGCAAGGCUGGAGUACGGCAGAGGGGGAUGGAAUUCCGCGUGUAGCAGUGAAAUGCGUAGAUAUGCGGAGGAACACCGAUGGCGAAGGCAAUCCCCUGGGCCUGUACUGACGCUCAUGCACGAAAGCGUGGGGAGCAAACAGGAUUAGAUACCCUGGUAGUCCACGCCCUAAACGAUGUCAACUGGUUGUUGGACGGCUUGCUGUUCAGUAACGAAGC